AGAACGAACGCUGGCGGCAUGCCUAACACAUGCAAGUCGAACGAGCCUUUCGGGGCUAGUGGCGCACGGGUGCGUAACGCGUGGGAAUCUGCCCUUGGGUUCGGAAUAACAGUUAGAAAUGACUGCUAAUACCGGAUGAUGUCUCCAGAGAGAUUUGGGGACCAAAGAUUUAUCGCCCAGGGAUGAGCCCGCGUAGGAUUAGGUAGUUGGUGGGGUAAUGGCCUACCAAGCCGACGAUCCUUAGCUGGUCUGAGAGGAUGAUCAGCCACACUGGGACUGAGACACGGCCCAGACUCCUACGGGAGGCAGCAGUGGGGAAUAUUGGACAAUGGGCGCAAGCCUGAUCCAGCAAUGCCGCGUGAGUGAUGAAGGCCUUAGGGUUGUAAAGCUCUUUUACCAGGGAUGAUAAUGACAGUACCUGGAGAAUAAGCUCCGGCUAACUCCGUGCCAGCAGCCGC
rnacentral:rRNA from 1 species